rnacentral:rRNA from 1 species
CGUGCCUACGGGGCGCAGCAGUGGGGAAUAUUGCACAAUGGGGGAAACCCUGAUGCAGCGACGCCGAGUGAGUGAAGAAGGAUUUCGGUAUGUAAAGCUCUAUCAGCAGGGAAGAAGCAAGACGGUACCUGACUAAGAAGCCCCGGCUAACUACGUGCCAGCAGCCGCGGUAAUACGUAGGGUGCGAGCGUUAAUCGGAAUUACUGGGCGUAAAGGGGGUGCAGGCGGUUUUGGAAGAUGG